UACGUAGGUGGCAAGCGUUGUUCGGAAUUAUUGGGCGUAAAGGGCGCGUAGGCGGGUGCUCAAGUCCGGGGUGAAAUCCUCCAGCUCAACUGGAGAACUGCCUCGGAUACUGGGUGCCUCGAGGGUGGUAGGGGUAUGCGGAACUAUCGGUGGAGCGGUGAAAUGCGUUGAUAUCGAUAGGAACUCCGGUGGCGAAGGCGGCAUACUGGACCACAUCUGACGCUGAGGCGCGAAAGCCAGGGGAGCAAACGGG
rnacentral:rRNA from 1 species